rnacentral:misc_RNA from 1 species
CGCACAUUGCGCCCCUUGGUAUUCCGAGGGGCAUGCCUGUUCGAGCGUCAUUACAACCCUCAAGCUCUGCUUGGUGUUGGGCAUUACCUACUGGUAGGCCCUAAAAUCAGUGGCGGAAGCAACCGGCUCCGGGCGUAGUAACAUUUUCGCCUCGGGCACCGGCUGUGACCUGCUAACCGGUCGACCGGUUUAACCGGCACCUUUUUUUUCAGGUUGACCUCGGAUCAGGUAGGGAUACCCGCUGAACUUAA